GGUCCGCUGGCUCAUCAAUGGCAGAGCAUCUGACUACGAUCCGGUCUUUGACAGGAGAAGUUAUCAGGAGGUUCCAGGUUGGACCCCUGGGUGGAUCG